rnacentral:rRNA from 1 species
AAAAAUAGAUACCCCUGGUAGUCCAUGCCGUAAAACGGUUGGGCACUAGGUGUGGGGGCUCAUUCCACGAGUUCCGUGCCGCAGCAAACGCAUUAAGUGCCCCCGCCUGGGGAGUACGGCCGCAAGGCUAAAAACUCAAAGGAAUUGACGGGGGCCCGCACAAGCGGCGGAGCAUGCGGAUUAAUUCGAUGCAACGCGAAGAACCUUACCAAGGCUUGACAUGCACGGGAAGCCACCAGAGAUGGUGGUCUCUUUGGACACUCGUGCACAGGUGGUGCAUGGUUGUCGUCAGCUCGUGUCGUGAGAUGUUGGGUUAAGUCCCGCAACGAGCGCAACCCUCGUCCAUGUUGCCAGCGGGUUAUGCCGGGGACUCAGUGGGAGACUGCCGGGGUCAACGUCGGAGGAAGGUGGGGUAUGACGUACAAAUCAUCAUCGCCCCUUAUGUCGUUGGGUCUUCGACGCAUGCUACAAGUGGCCGGUAACGAAACGGGCUGCGAGUGUCCGGUAAGGUGGAGCGAACUACCCGAAAAACGCCGGUCGUCGAGUUCGGUAGUUGGGUUCG